AUUGAACGCUGGCGGAAUGCUUUACACAUGCAAGUCGAACGGCAGCACGGGGCAACCUGGUGGCGAGUGGCGAACGGGUGAGUAAUACAUCGGAACGUGCCCAAUCGUGGGGGAUAACGUAGCGAAAGUUACGCUAAUACCGCAUACGAUCUACGGAUGAGAGCGGGGGAUCGCAAGACCUCGCGCGAAAGGAGCGGCCGAUGUCAGAUUAGGUAGUUGGUGGGGUAAAGGCUCACCAAGCCGACGAUCUGUAGCUGGUCUGAGAGGACGACCAGCCACACUGGGACUGAGACACGGCCCAGACUCCUACGGGAGGCAGCAGUGGGGAAUUUUGGACAAUGGGCGCAAGCCUGAUCCGGCCAUUCCGCGUGCAGGAUGAAGGCCUUCGGGUUGUAAACUGCUUUUGUACGGAACGAAACGGUUCUCUCUAAUACAGGGGGCUAAUGACGGUACCGUAAGAAUAAGCACCGGCUAACUACGUGCCAGCCGCCGCAGUAAGAC
rnacentral:rRNA from 1 species